rnacentral:rRNA from 1 species
UACGAAGGGGGCUAGCGUUGCUCGGAUUUACUGGGCGUAAAGGGCGCGUAGGCGGACAGUUAAGUUGGGGGUGAAAGCCCGGGGCUCAACCUCGGAACUGCCUUCAAUACUGGCUGUCUUGAGUGUGAGAGAGGUGUGUGGAACUCCGAGUGUAGAGGUGAAAUUCGUAGAUAUUCGGAAGAACACCAGUGGCGAAGGCGACACACUGGCUCACUACUGACGCUGAGGCGCGAAAGCGUGGGAGCAAACAGG